CACAGAAUCCGAAGCAGGCCCCAGGCUCCGAGCUGUCAGCACAGAGCCUGACGCGGGGCUGGAACUUACGGACCGUGAGAUCAUGACCUGAGCCGAAGUCGGAUGCUUAACCGACUGAGCCACCCAGGCCCCCCCCCAAGUCCACUUUCAAAUAACACUAAACCGCCUCAACCGUAGUGCCAGUAACUUAUGCAAGUGUUCCUAGCUACUCCCUUCUGUUACAGCACUGCUGUUAUUCAUGUGGAGUAUCCAUAAGCUGUAAUCAUCGAAUACAUUGUUGCUGCUCUUAUUUUGAACAAACUGUUAUCUGUUAACUGUUAACAAGUAGAAUAAGAAAAAUAAAGGGGUGCCUGGCUGGCUUAGCUGGUAGAGCAUGUGACUCUGGAUCGCAGGGUUGUAAGUUUGAGCCCCACAUCGGGUGUAGCUAUUACUUAAACAAAACAAAAAAAAAAGAAAAAGAAUUUAUUUUGCCUUCAUUUAUUCCUUCUGACACUCCCUUAUGUAGGUCUGAAUUUAUGACCUGUAUCUUUUUUUUUUUUUUUUUUUUUUCUCUCUGAAGAACUUCUCAUAUCUUGCAAGGCAGGUCUAUUGGUGAUAAAUAUCCUCAAUUUUGUUUUCUGGGAAAGCCCAUAUUUCUCCUUCACUUUAAAGGAUAAUUUUGCUGGUGUAGAAUUCCAGGUUGGUGGGGUUUUUUUUUCUUUCAGUGCUUUAAAUAUUUCACUCUACUUUCCUUGCUUGCAUGGUACCUGAGGAGAAAUCCAAUAUAGUUCUUUGUUCUUCUGUAGGUAAGGUGUUUUCUUUUCCCUACCUCAGACUUCUUCCUUGACUUUCUUUGUCUUGAUUUUCUGCAAUUUGAAAUAUAAUGUGACUAGGUGUAGUUUUUUUUUUUGUUUUUUUUUAAUUUCAAUCCAAGUAUAGUUAACAUACAGUGUUAUAUUAGUUUCAGGUGUACAAUGUAUUACUCAGUACUCAUCAUAAGUGUACUUUUUUUAAUGUUUAUUUUUGGGAGAGAGAGAGUGAGUGAGCAUGAGCAGGGUAGAGGCAGAAAGAGGGAGACAGAGGAUCUGAAGCAGGCUCCACACUGUGAGUGCAAAACCCAAUUAGGGGCUUGAACUCAUGACUGUGAGAUCAUGACCUAAGCCGAAAUCAAGAGUCGGCCACUUAACCAACUGAGCCAUGCAGGUGCCCCAUGGUAAGUGUACUCUUAAUCCACUUACCUGUUCCAUCCAUUCUUCUACCCACCUCUGCUCUGGUAACCAUCAGUUUGUUCUCUAUAGUUAAGAGUCUGUUUUUUUAUCUUUUUUCUUUGUUCAUUUGUUUUGUUUUUAAAUUCCACAUAUAAGUGGAGACGUAUGGUAUUUGUUUUUCUCCGACUUAUUUCACUUAGCAUAAUACUCUGUAGGUCCAUCCAUGUUGUUGCAAAUGUCAAGAUUUCAUUUUUUUUUUAUGGCUGAGUAAUAUUCCAUUGUACACAUAUACCACAUCUUUUUUUUUUUUAUCCAUUCAUCUAUCCGUGGAUACUUGGGCUGCUUCUGUAAUUUGGCUAUUGUAAAUAAUGCUGUAAUAAACAUAGGGGUGCACAUAUCUUCUCAAAUUAGUGUUUCUAUAUUCUCUGAGUAAAUACCCAGUAGUGGAAUUUCUGGGUCAUAUGGUAAUUCUAUUUUUAAUUUUUUGAGGAACUUCCAUACUGUUUCCAUAGUGGCUAUAACAGUUUGUAUUCCUAUCUAGGUGUAGUUUUGUUUUUUUUUUUCUUCAAAGUUUAUUUAUUUUUGAGAGGGAGGGAGAGAGAGAGAAGGGGGAAGGACAGAGAGAGAGAGAGAAAGAGAGAGAGAGUCCCAAGCAUGCUCUGUGCUUUCAGUGCAGAGGCUGAUGUAGGGCUCAAACUCCGCGAACUUCGAGUUCAUGACCUAAGCUGAAAUCCAGAGUCAGACGCCUAAGUGACUGAGCCACCCAGGCUCACCUAGAUUGUUUUUUUAAGAUUUUUUUUAAUCUUAUUUUUUUUAACGUUUAUUUAUUAUUGAGAGACAGACAGACAGAUAGAGCAUGAGCAGGGGAGGGGCAGAGAGACGGGGAUGCACAGAAUCUGAAGCAGGCUCCAGGCUCUGAGCUGUCAGCACAGAGCCCAACGCGGGGCUCGAACUCAUGAACUGUGAGAUCAUGAUCUGAGCUGAAGUCAGACACUCAACUGACUGAGCUACCCAGGUGCCCCUAGAUUUUUAAAAAAGAUUUAUUUCUAAGUAAUCUACACCCAAUGUGGGGCUUGAACCCACCACCCCGAAAUCAAAAGUCAUAUGCUCCAUUGACUGAGCCAGCCAAGCACCCUUAGGUGUAGAUUUUUUGGUAGUUAUCCUUCUUGGUGUUUUCUGAGCCUCUUGGACUUGUGGUUUGAUGUCUGUAAUUCAUUUUGGAAAAUUCUCAGUCAUUAUUGCUACAAAUAUUUCUUCUGUUCCCUCCCCUCUUCAUCUUCUGCAUUCCCAUUACAUGUAUGUUACACCUUAUGUAAUUGCCCCAGCGUUCUUGGAUUUUCUGUUCUGGUUUUUUCAUUUUACUUUUUCUCUACUUUUCAGUUGGGGAGUUUUCUACUGACACAUAUUUAAGCUCACUGAUUCUUUCCUUGACCAUGUCCAAGGUACCAAUGAGCUUAUGAAAGGAAUUCUCAGGGGUGCCUGGCUAGUACAGUCAGUAGAGCAUGUGACUCUCAGUCUCCCAGUCAUGAGUUCAAACCCCACAUUGGGCAUGGAGCCUACUUUUUAAAACAAAAAGAGGGGCGGGGGCCCCUUCGCUCAGUUGGUUAAGCAUCCAUCCAAUUCUUGAUUUUGGUUCAGGUCAUGAUCUCAUGGUUCGUGAGUUUGAGCCCUGCGUCAGGCUCCGCACUGACAGCACAGAGCAUGCUUGGGGUUCUUUUUCUCUCUUCCCCUCCCAUAUGCUCUCUUUCUCAAAAUAAAUACAUAAAUUAAAAAGUAUAUAUUAAAAAUAAAAGGAGUUUGACACUCACCAUAUUAAAUGGGGUGCUUGGCUUGCUUCGUUGGUAGACCAUGCAACUCUUGAUCUCAGGGUUGUGAGUUUGAGCCCCACGUUGGGUGUGGAGAUCACUUAAAAUCUUUU